AUACUUACCUGGCGUAGAGGGAUACCGUGAUCAUGCAGGGGGUUCCCUCAGGACGACGCUGCUCCAUUGCACUGCGGAGUGGUUGACUCUUGCGAUUAUUUUUAACAAUAAAAAAAUCAUAAUAAAAAAUGUAUACCCGAAAAAUUAUUUUCUUUAUAAGUAGAAUUUAAAAUAAAUAUUUUUGUAAUAUGGAACUUCGUUCCUAUCCGGU
rnacentral:snRNA from 9 species